rnacentral:rRNA from 1 species
CCUACGGGAGGCAGCAGUGAGGAAUAUUGGUCAAUGGACGAGAGUCUGAACCAGCCAAGUAGCGUGAAGGAUGACUGCCCUAUGGGUUGUAAACUUCUUUUAUAUGGGAAUAAAACGUUCCACGUGUGGGUUUUUGUAUGUACUAUAUGAAUAAGGAUCGGCUAACUCCGUGCCAGCAGCCGCGGUAAUACGGAGGAUCCGAGCGUUAUCCGGAUUUAUUGGGUUUAAAGGGAGCGUAGGUGGGUUGUUAAGUCAGUUGUGAAAGUUUGCGGCUCAACCGUAAAAUUGCAGUUGAUACUGGCAGUCUUGAGUACAGUAGAGGUGGGCGGAAUUCGUGGUGUAGCGGUGAAAUGCUUAGAUAUCACGAAGAACUCCGAUUGCGAAGGCAGCUCACUGGACUGCGACUGACACUGAGGCUCGAAAGUGUGGGUAUCAAACAGGAUUAGAUACCCCUGUAGUC